GUGGGGAAUAUUGGACAAUGGUGGGAACCCUGAUCCAGCCAUGCCGCGUGUGUGAAGAAGGCCUUUUGGUUGUAAAGCACUUUAAGCGAGGAGGAGGCUACCGAGAUUAAUACUCUUGGAUAGUGGACGUUACUCGCAGAAUAAGCACCGGCUAACUCUGUGCCAGCAGCCGCGGUAAUACAGAGGGUGCAAGCGUUAAUCGGAUUUACUGGGCGUAAAGCGCGCGUAGGUGGCCAAUUAAGUCAAAUGUGAAAUCCCCGAGCUUAACUUGGGAAUUGCAUUCGAUACUGGUUGGCUAGAGUAUGGGAGAGGAUGGUAGAAUUCCAGGUGUAGCGGUGAAAUGCGUAGAGAUCUGGAGGAAUACCGAUGGCGAAGGCAGCCAUCUGGCCUAAUACUGACACUGAGGUGCGAAAGCAUGGGGAGCAAACAGGAUUAGAUACCCCAGUAGUCC
rnacentral:rRNA from 1 species